UACCACCACAGUCAGUUUUGCAUGGAUUUGCACAGCGACGGACAGCAAGCUGGGAUGCAAACCUGCAAAACGGACUGUAGAUCA
rnacentral:pre_miRNA from 1 species